rnacentral:rRNA from 1 species
AAUCAACGCUGGCGGCGUGCCUCAGUCAUGCAAGUCGAACGAUUAAAGCUCUCUUCGGAGAGUGCAUAAAGUGGCGCACGGGUGAGUAACACGUAAGUAAUCUACCUUCGAGUGGGGAAUAACGUCCGGAAACGGACGCUAAUACCGCAUAAUGCAGAGGCACCUAAUGGUGACAGUUGUUAAAGAAUUUAUUCGCUUGAAGAGGAGCUUGCGGCAGAUUAGCUAGUUGGUAAGGUAAUGGCUUACCAAGGCUUCGAUCUGUAACCGGUCUAAGAGGACGGUCGGUCACACUGACACUGAAUAACGGGUCAGACUCCUACGGGAGGCAGCAGUCGGGAAUUUUGGGCAAUGGGCGAAAGCCUGACCCAGCAACGCCGCGUGAAGGAUGAAGUAUUUCGGUAUGUAAACUUCGAAAGAAUGGGAAGAAUCAAUGACGGUACCAUUUAUAAGGUCCGGCUAACUACGUGCCAGCCGCCGCAGUAA